AUUGAACGCUGGCGGCAGGCCUAACACAUGCAAGUCGAGCGGAUGAGUGGAGCUUGCUCCACGAUUCAGCGGCGGACGGGUGAGUAAUGCCUAGGAAUCUGCCUGGUAGUGGGGGACAACGUUUCGAAAGGAACGCUAAUACCGCAUACGUCCUACGGGGGAAAGCAGGGGACCUUCGGGCCUUGCGCUAUCAGAUGAGCCUAGGUCGGAUUAGCUUGUUGGUGAGGUAAUGGCUCACCAAGGCGACGAUCCGUAACUGGUCUGAGAGGAUGAUCAGUCACACUGGAACUGAGACACGGUCCAGACUCCUACGGGAGGCAGCAGUGGGGAAUAUAGGACAAUGGGCGAAAGCCUGAUCCAGCCAUGCCGCGUGUGUGAAGAAGGUCUUCGGAUUGUAAAGCACUUUAAGUUGGGAGGAAGGGCAGUCAGCGAAUACCUGAUUGUUUUGACGUUACCGACAGAAUAAGCACCGGCUAACUCUGUGCCAGCCGCCGCGGAAAGAC
rnacentral:rRNA from 1 species